rnacentral:misc_RNA from 1 species
GGGACUUGUAAGGACAGAUU